rnacentral:rRNA from 1 species
AGCUCCAGUAGCGUAUAUUAAAGUUGUUGCAGUUAAAAAGCUCGUAGUUGGAUUUCUGGCUUGACGCAACUGACCCGCCGUGUUAUGCGUGUGAGUGUCGGGCUUCGUCUGCCAUCCUUCCAGAGAUCGUUUCUACCCUUCACUGGGCCGGAUUCGCGAUCUGGAACUUUUACUUUGAAGAAAUUAGAGUGUUCAAAGCAGGCUUGCGCUGUGAAUACAUUAGCAUGGAAUAAUAACUUAGGACUUUGGUUCUAUUUUGUUGGUUUCUAGGACUGAAGUAAUGAUUGAUAGGGAUAGUUGGGGGUGCUAGUAUUCAGCGGCCAGAGGUGAAAUUCUUGGAUUCGCUGAAGACUAACUUAUGCGAAAGCAUUCACCAAGGAUGUCUUCUUUAAUCAAGAAC